rnacentral:SRP_RNA from 1 species
UCCUAGGCCCCGAGCAAUGAUUAUUUGUAGGCAACUCGCCAGGGCGAAAGCAGCAACGGACUUGCGAAUCUUUAUGUGCUCGGGUCGCCUGGGAUUU